rnacentral:rRNA from 1 species
CCUACGGGAGGCAGCAGUGAGGAAUAUUGGUCAAUGGACGAGAGUCUGAACCAGCCAAGUAGCGUGAAGGAUGACUGCCCUAUGGGUUGUAAACUUCUUUUAUAUGGGAAUAAAACGUUCCACGUGUGGGAUUUUGUAUGUACCAUAUGAAUAAGGAUCGGCUAACUCCGUGCCAGCAGCCGCGGAAAUACGGAGGAUCCGAGCGUUAUCCGGAUUUAUUGGGUUUAAAGGGAGCGUAGGUGGAUUGUUAAGUCAGUUGUGAAAGUUUGCGGCUCAACCGUAAAAUUGCAGUUGAAACUGGCAGUCUUGAGUACAGCAGAGGUGGGCGGAAUUCGUGGUGUAGCGGUGAAAUGCUUAGAUAUCACGAAGAACUCCGAUUGCGAAGGCAGUUCACUGGACUGCAACUGACACUGAGGCUCGAAAGUGUGGGUAUCAAACAGGAUUAGAUACCCGGGUAGUC